AACGUAGGAGGCAAGCGUUAUCCGGAGUUACUGGGCGUAAAGCGCGUGUAGGUGGAUCGGUAAGUUACUUAUAAAAGCUCCUGGCUAAACUAGGAGAGGUUGAGUGAUACUGCCAGUCUUGAAUAGAGGAGAGGUUGACGGAAUUCCGCGUGUAGUGGUGAAAUGCGUAGAGAUGCGGAAGAGCACCAGUGGCGAAGGCGACUACCUGGCCUGUUCUUGACGCUGAGGCGCGAAAGCUAGGGGAGCAAACGGG
rnacentral:rRNA from 1 species